UUGGACGUGUGUUGGGGUAUUUGUAUCUGUCUACGGCAAUCGUGCAUUCUUGUUUCAAAGUUACCGAUUGAACAAAAUGGCAGAUAAUAUUCGCGGAAAUGUUAACAGCGCUAACAAUUGUUCUGGACUGGAGCCAGGGAGGACUCGAAAUGAGGAAAGUAUUCGAGAUGCAAAUUAGUACAUGCCUGACAAGCGAUGGAACCCGUGUAUAAUACGCACCGCAAGUUUGAUGGUUAUUUUUGUAGAAGAGAAGUGGGUAUUAUACACGGGUAAAUACGAUACUUGAGGUAAGG